rnacentral:lncRNA from 1 species
GUGCCAUAGGACCUUUCCUCUACAAGAUGUGUAAGUGAAGUAUAAGAGAGUCCUGAGGGGGAAGCAACUAACUAUCUCUGCCUAGGGGAAUGUUUAUAACUUUGCACAUAGAGGAAUAUUUAAGCUAGAUCUUAAGGAGAAGAAGAGUGUAGGGUGUGAGGAGGGCAUUGCAGGCAGAGUAAAGGUCCAGCACCUUGCCACAAAACAACAAGCGAAUGGUGGGAGCUGAUGCUAGAAAGCAGAGUUGGUGUCCGAUUGCGUAGGAUCAUGCUGGAGAGCUGAGUGUUAUAUGAGGUAACAGAUGUUAAGGAACUGCUUAAUAGGAAGAGGAAGGACUCAAGAAAAAAGCCAUCACAUCAUCAUUGUCAUCAUAGUCAUCUUAUCGUUGUGUUAUUAUUUCACAGACAUGUUGAAGCACCUUCUGGCUCAUAUGUGUGGGUUGAGGCAAACUUCUAUCCUGGUAGAAAGCUGUCAGGAAUGGAAGAACAUGCACUUCAUUAGGAACUAGCAGCUCCCUCCGGCAACAGUUGGAAAGUACAAGAGGUCUCAUGUGCUUUUGUGAAGCAUCAGGAAGAAGCUGCUGGAAGAGUUCCAUUUGGACACAAGUGGUUUUCUCUUUACCUGCAUCUGACACAGGAGUUUUGCAGAUGUCUUUUGGGGGCCAGAACAGCACCCCCCAACACUCUCCAGGCAUUAGGGCCACAGGAACUCCUGUGGGUAUCCCAGAAAAUUAGCUUUCAGUUCCUGGAGUAAUCACAGGACCAGGGACUCCAUCACGUAGGAGGAAGGCAAAUGAAGAUUAGGGGUACUGAGAUGAGGGAGUGGAGAACC